AGAUUGAACGCUGGCGGCAUGCCUUACACAUGCAAGUCGAACGGCAGCACGGGAGCAAUCCUGGUGGCGAGUGGCGAACGGGUGAGUAAUACAUCGGAACGUGCCCGGUAGUGGGGGAUAGCCCGGCGAAAGCCGGAUUAAUACCGCAUACGACCUACGGGUGAAAGCGGGGGAUCGCAAGACCUCGCGCUAUCGGAGCGGCCGAUGUCAGAUUAGCUAGUUGGUAGGGUAAAAGCCUACCAAGGCGACGAUCUGUAGCUGGUCUGAGAGGACGACCAGCCACACUGGGACUGAGACACGGCCCAGACUCCUACGGGAGGCAGCAGUGGGGAAUUUGGACAAUGGGCGCAAGCCUGAUCCAGCCAUGCCGCGUGCGGGAAGAAGGCCUCGGGUUGUAAACCGCUUUGUCAGGAAGAAACGCUCUGAGUUAAUACCUCGGAGUAAUGACGGUACCUGAAGAAUAAGACACCGGCUAACUACGUAGCCAGCAGCCGCGGUAA
rnacentral:rRNA from 1 species